UACGUAGGGGGCGAGCGUUGUCCGGAAUCAUUGGGCGUAAAGAGCGUGUAGGUGGACUGGAAGGUCUGGUGUGAAAGCCCGGGGCUCAACCCCGGAGGGUCACUGGAAACCAACAGUCUUGAGUCCGGAAAGAGGAGAGUGGAAUUCCUGGUGUAGCGGUGGAAUGCGCAGAUAUCAGGAGGAACACCAUGGCGAAGGCAGCUCUCUG
rnacentral:rRNA from 1 species